GACGAACGCUGGCGGCGUGCCUAAUACAUGCAAGUAGAACGCUGAAGAGAGGAGCUUGCUCUUCUUGGAUGAGUUGCGAACGGGUGAGUAACGCGUAGGUAACCUGCCUUGUAGCGGGGGAUAACUAUUGGAAACGAUAGCUAAUACCGCAUAACAAUGGAUGACACAUGUCAUUUAUUUGAAAGGGGCAAUUGCUCCACUACAAGAUGGACCUGCGUUGUAUUAGUUAGUAGGUGAGGCAACGGCUCACCUAGGCGACGAUACAUAGCCGACCUGAGAGGGUGAUCGGCCACACUGGGACUGAGACACGGCCCAGACUCCUACGGGAGGCAGCAGUAGGGAAUCUUCGGCAAUGGGGGCAACCCUGACCGAGCAACGCCGCGUGAGUGAAGAAGGUUUUCGGAUCGUAAAGCUCUGUCGUAAGUCAAGAACGAGUGUGAGAGUGGAAAGUUCACACUGUGACGGUAGCUUACCAGAAAGGGACGGCUAACUACGUGCCAGCAGCCGCGGUAAUACGUAGGUCCCGAGCGUUGUCCGGAUUUAUUGGGCGUAAAGCGAGCGCAGGCGGUUUGAUAAGUCUGAAGUUAAAGGCUGUGGCUCAACCAUUGUUCGCUUUGGAAACUGUCAAACUUGAGUGCAGAAGGGGAGAGUGGAAUUCCAUGUGUAGCGGUGAAAUGCGUAGAUAUAUGGAGGAACACCGGUGGCGAAAGCGGCUCUCUGGUCUGUAACUGACGCUGAGGCUCGAAAGCGUGGGGAGCGAACAGGAUUAGAUACCCUGGUAGUCCACGCCGUAAACGAUGAGUGCUAGGUGUUGGAUCCUUUCCGGGAUUCAGUGCCGCAGCUAACGCAUUAAGCACUCCGCCUGGGGAGUACGACCGCAAGGUUGAAACUCAAAGGAAUUGACGGGGGCCCGCACAAGCGGUGGAGCAUGUGGUUUAAUUCGAAGCAACGCGAAGAACCUUACCAGGUCUUGACAUCCCGAUGCUAUUUCUAGAGAUAGAAAGUUACUUCGGUACAUCGGUGACAGGUGGUGCAUGGUUGUCGUCAGCUCGUGUCGUGAGAUGUUGGGUUAAGUCCCGCAACGAGCGCAACCCCUAUUGUUAGUUGCCAUCAUUCAGUUGGGCACUCUAGCGAGACUGCCGGUAAUAAACCGGAGGAAGGUGGGGAUGACGUCAAAUCAUCAUGCCCCUUAUGACCUGGGCUACACACGUGCUACAAUGGUUGGUACAACGAGUUGCGAGUCGGUGACGGCAAGCUAAUCUCUUAAAGCCAAUCUCAGUUCGGAUUGUAGGCUGCAACUCGCCUACAUGAAGUCGGAAUCGCUAGUAAUCGCGGAUCAGCACGCCGCGGUGAAUACGUUCCCGGGCCU
rnacentral:rRNA from 1 species